rnacentral:ribozyme from 11 species
GAGACAAAGAAAGAAAGAAAGAAAGAAAGCAUCAAGAAGGAACGAUGGAUCGAUCGAUGACUGUAUCGAUCGACUGCCACUCUUUCUUUCUU